UACGGGGGGGGCAAGCGUUGUUCGGAAUUACUGGGCGUAAAGGGCUCGUAGGCGGCCAACUAAGUCAGACGUGAAAUCCCUCGGCUUAACCGGGGAACUGCGUCUGAUACUGGAUGGCUUGAGUGUGGGAGAGGAAUGCGGAAUUCCAGGUGUAGCGGUGAAAUGCGUAGAUAUCUGGAGGAACACCGGUGGCGAAGGCGGCAUUCUGGACCAUUACUGACGCUGAGGCACGAAAGCUAGGGGAGCAAACAGG
rnacentral:rRNA from 1 species